CUUUAUUGGAGAGUUUGAUCCUGGCUCAGGAUGAACGCUGGCGGCGUGCCUAAUACAUGCAAGUCGAGCGAAUGGAUUAAGAGCUUGCUCUUAUGAAGUUAGCGGCGGACGGGUGAGUAACACGUGGGUAACCUGCCCAUAAGACUGGGAUAACUCCGGGAAACCGGGGCUAAUACCGGAUAACAUUUUGAACCGCAUGGUUCGAAAUUGAAAGGCGGCUUCGGCUGUCACUUAUGG
rnacentral:rRNA from 1 species